rnacentral:rRNA from 1 species
GAUGAACGCUGACAGAAUGCUUAACACAUGCAAGUCUUUGGCGAAGCUGUGCUUGCACAGCCUAGCCAAGGCGGACGGGUGAGUAACGCGUAAGGAACUUGCCCUGCAGUCAGGGAUAACAGACGGAAACGACUGAUAAGACCUGGUAAAGUCAGGCAGACUCAUGUCCAGCCUGAUGAAAAGAGAUGCUGCAGGAGAGCCUUGCGUCCUAUUAGCUUGUUGGUGGGGUAACGGCCCACCAAGGCGAUGAUAGGUAGCCGGCCUGAGAGGGUGGACGGCCACAAGGGGACGGAGAUACGGCGCUUACUCCUACGGGAAGCAGCAGUGGGGAAUAUUGGACAAUGGGGGCAACCCUGAUCCAGCAAUUCUGUGUGCACGAUGAAGGUUUUCGGAUUGUAAAGUGCUUUCAGCAGGGAAGAAAAAAUGACGGUACCUGCAGAAGAAGCGACGGCUAAAUACGUG